UACGGGGGGGGCAAGCGUUGUUCGGAAUUACUGGGCGUAAGGGCUCGUAGGCGGCCAACUAAGUCAGACGUGAAAUCCCUCGGCUUAACCGGGGAACUGCGUCUGAUACUGGAUGGCUUGAGAUUGGGAGAGGGAUGCGGAAUUCCAGGUGUAGCGGUGAAAUGCGUAGAUAUCUGGAGGAACACCGGUGGCGAAGGCGGCAUCCUGGACCAACACUGACGCUGAGGAGCGAAAGCGUGGGGAGCGAACAGG
rnacentral:rRNA from 1 species